CCCUUAGAUGUUCUGGGCUGCACGCGCGCUACACUGAAGCUAUCAACACGUUUUCCCUCCCUGAGAAGGGCGGGUAACCUUUUGAAUCAGCUUCGUGGUAGGGAUCGGGGCUUGCAAUUGUUCCCCGUGAACCAGGAAUUCCUAGUAGACGCGAGUCAUAAGCUCGCAUCGAUUAAGUCCCUGCCCUUUGUACACACCGCCCGUCGCUACUACCGAUCGAACGUUUUAGUGAGGCAUUUGGACCGACGCAUCUCAGUUUAACCGCUGGUUUGUGUUGGAAAGACUUCCAAACUUGAGCGUUUAGAGGAAGUAAAAGUCGUAACA
rnacentral:rRNA from 1 species